CCUCCUCCUCCUCCUCUCCUCCCCUCCCCUCCUGCAGCCGCCGUCCCCUCCCCUCCCCUCCAUCACCCCGCCGCCUGCCAAUGCGCGCCGCCGGCCGCGGGGAAGGGGCGGGCACCGCUCCGCGGCCAUGGGAGGGAGGCAGGGGGGGCACGGAGAGACCCCCCCGGGUACAGGCAUUUUGGGGAGAGCCUGCACUAUGGGAGGAUGUGUAUUUUUUUUUUUUUUCCAGCCUCUCUACAAUGAGACUUGGGGGUGCGGCGUGGGGCAGGCUGGGCUGGGGAAGGUGAGGCCGUGCCCUCGCCCCUGGCACACGCAGCUGCUCCGUGCCACCCUGCGGGGUGGGUGCAAGCUUUCUGCCACCCUUCCAGGUGUUUUAAAGCCCCAAAUGGGUCAGAAAGGGCAAAUAUAGGAGCUCUGGGAGAGGACAGCUGGUGGGACCCCCCCGUCCAGCCACCAGCUGGGUGCUGGAUGCUGCAGAAGGUCACGCAGAGCUGUGCCCUGGGUGUGCAGCCCGUCCUUUUGCUUUUUGGGGACAAAUCCCACCGGCUGCACCCAUAUGGUGGUCCCGGGGGUCUCAUUGUGGCAGCAGGGGGCAGGUGGCAGUGCCGGGAUCCCCCUCCCUGCUCCCCAGCCACAUGGAUGGAGCAGCAGCAGGGAGCACACGGGUGUUUGCCUCCCGGGCUCCAAAAUCCUGCCCUUUUCCUCCCCCUGCGAUGCCACAGCAGGACGAGGCGAGCAGGUCGGACCUGCAGCCGUCCCCGGGCUCUGCUCCACCCAGCAAAAGGCGAAGCCAGGAGGGAAGCACCCCCCGAGCAGCCCACUUGGGUCUGCUUAAAAUUCCCCUCGCAGGAUGCUUUAGCCACAGCGAGCUAAGACAACUCCAGUGCUGAAUGAGAGUGCCCACGGGUGUAAUACGCUUUAAUUAAUGCGCUUUAACUUCCUUGUUUUAGAUCAUUAGCCCUCCUUUGAUGGAGUGCCCCCUCGCCGUCCUAAUGUUUUAUCUCCUUUCUCUCGGGGGUGUUUUACAAAGGAGGAAGGGAUGCCGGCUGCUCUCCGCCACCCCUCUGACAAGGGGCCUUCCUCCUGCGGGUGUCAGGGGCCAGGGGUGCUCCUUGACUCGCUUCCAGCUGUCCUUGGAAAUCCCCUUCUCUGCCUCAAGGACGCUUCGUGGCGUGACAGCAGCUUCACAGCUCCAAGAGGAGUUUGUUCUUUCCUCCCCGUGAUUCAGCCACAAGAGGUAUCCCUGCAGAGGGAGCUGAGGAAGAGGAGAUGGAGGUCGGUGCCCCAGGAGCAUUGCCGUGCGUCUGGCCCCGGCGCUGCAGCUGAAGGAGGUGCUUCGCUGGGGCCUUGUCCGGAAUUAAAACUGCUGAAGCUUUUCCAUCUGGGACCCAGAUGGGAUCCAAAACUCCUGGGGCCUUGCCUGCCUGACGGGAGAUCCGUCUCGGUCCUGAUCCUCCUACAGCUGCACUCGGGUGAUGUCCACCGGAGUUGGGGGGGAGCUGCGUGUGCGGGACUGCUGCCAGAGCCGGGCAGGAGAUGAAAGCUGGCAGGCCGCAUCCAGACCUGUAGCAGAGGCAGUGUGGGAGGAACGCCUACCCCAAGCACCUCUUUGUGGGGGAUGUCAAACAGGGGCAAAUAUGUCCAAGCCCUGCCAGCUGCUGCUACCACCCAAGAAGAAAUGCCUGCCGAGGGGAUGUGUGGGCAGCUGGAGCUGGAGGGGGCCCGCGAGGAAGCCAGGGGAAGGGGCUGUAGGCCCCAAAUGCCUUCCCCUUGCUCUCACCCUGCUCUCCUACAAUGCAAGCCUUGAUUUCGGUUCAAUCUGUGGAAAUAUCCCUCCUGCUCUUCCCCAGGCCGAUGACAUACAACGUGAUCUAUUUGUUUUUAAGGCACAAACAGGCCGCAUGGCCAACUUUUCAAAUCCAGCUGCUAAAUAGCACCUCCAGCUGGAUUUGACCUCCAGCCCCCCUUUGGUAUUGCUGUCUUGUGGCAAGAUGAGGCAUUGAAAUGAUGAGCUGGGACCCAGUCUGAGGCGUUAUUUUUAAGAUCAGAUCCUUGUUGGAGCUUCUGCCUUUGGCUUCGGGAGAAGUGCGCUGCUGCACAGCCGUGCGCUGGUGCCCCUGGCUCCAGUUCAUAAAGCAAUUGCUCCUUGAUUUUGCUCAGUUGCAUCACGCAUUGCAAAUGGGAUUGCUGUUUUUGGCACCGAUCAAAGCAGCGGAUUUCGCUGGAGAAAACAACAGAUGUGUCCAAGCCAUAGCUGCAGAGCAGGAAAAGGCCCCAAAUAAGGUGCGCUUCUGCAGCUCCCGCUCCCCGAUCCACGUUUUUCAAACAACCUUCACCUUUCUGAUAGCUGGAUCAAAGACCUGGGCUGAAAAUCGCCCACUGAAAUGCAGGCUGGGCGAAAUUCGGAUCUCUGCCUUGCCUGAUGGGGCUGUCUCAGCUUGGAAUUGGAGAACUGGGGAGCGCUGAUCCCGUUUUCCCCUGCUUCUUUCCUUCGUGGAGCCUGGACUCGGAGCUCCUUGCACACAGCAUGUGGGCAACCACCCGCCGCUGAACUGCAAACACCUCUGAGGCUCUGCGCGGGGGCAAAGGCACAUCCGUGGGCAUCCACACCUCGGUUCCCAUGUUUAACCUCGUUACAGAGGGGUGUGAGCUUCUGAGCAUCCAGGUGCCACGCGCGGAAGAAUCAUGGCCAGUGUGAGCCUGUAGCAUCCUGCUGGCUAUUUGCAGGGAGAUCACAGCUCCCGAGGGAUGCUCAGCCCACACCGCUGGUCUGAACUUGGCUUUUCUGACCCUUUCCCAGGGCGCUCUGCCCCGUGCCACACCGUGCAUGUCUGUGGGCUUCAGCGGGGCUGGAGGAAUGUGCCUAAUUUGAACCCUAAGGUUUAUAGGCGAUGCCUCCCCUUGCUGCCUUCCUAAUGGAAUUAUUCAACACCUGUAAUUAUAUGGCUAAAAUAGUAAAUAUGGGUAUUUCUGAGGAGUGUAACUAGUAGUUAGAGGACUCCUGGUCUGCUCCUGACUCUCCCGUGAACUUCCCUUCAUGCAAUGAACCCCACAGAGCUGCAGCAUGUGUGCCUUUGCCUUCUCUGCCUUGGGACAAGGUGUCCAGCGGGUGCUGUUUGUGUCCUGGCUGGGUUUUCCUGGCUGACAGCAAGAAUGGAAGCUCUCCCUGAGCUGGGCACCUUGAAGCUGCCAACCAAGUGUCUAAACCCAGUGCCCUCCUGACCUGCCCCUGCUCUGGGACGCCUGCAGCAGCAGCCAGGAGCCCGGUGUCCCCCCGAGGUGUCACCAAAUCCCUGCCCCAGCACCCAGGGACCUCAUGGGGCAGGAGAAGGAGGUGGCAUGGGCUGGGCUUUGCAGGUUGGCCGGCUCCUGCGUGGCAAAGUGCAGAAAAGAGUUGCCCGGCUGAGAUAAUCCACCGGCCCGCAGCUGCCUCUGUGAACAUUAGACUCGCCGAUCUGCCUAUGCAAAGAGAGGCCGGCGGGUCGAAGGUGGAAUUAAAUAUGGCUUUGUAGCACCAAUAAAUAAAGGAGAAACAGCGCGCUGUUGACUUGCAACUUCGCAUCUGCUGAGAGUGACUAAUUAACAGCGGCCCUAAUUGAAGUCGCCGGGGCUUAUCCUGCUUCGGGUUCGCUCCGCCAAGUGCCACAAAGUCACCUCGAAGUCACCAGGCUGUGCAAGGCGAGGGGAAGAUGGGCUGGAGGAAAGCUUCUCAUCUCACCAUGACAGAAAGUGGGACACAGAGGGGUAUUUUCAGUGUGAUCGAGGUCAUCACGUCCAUUUGUUUUUGGCUGGUGGCGUUCCUUCGCUUCUUCCCACUGCAAAAGCCUGGUGGGGUCGGACUCCUCCGCAGGGCAGCCCUCCUGUGUUCUGGCCUUCACCUCCUGUGGAUUUAGUUCUCUUCCUUGCCUGGCCUCCACUUUGGGGUAAAUAUAUCCAGUACUGUCUCUCUAGUGUAUCUCCUACAGGUCUAGGCUCCUCUCUAACAAAAAAGAAGGGCUGGGAGGUGCCCGAGAGCAAGUUGAAAUGGCCACGUGUCAGCUUGGCAGGAAAGGUUGGCGAACCUCAGGCGCCCCAAAAUAAACAGCAGGGAAGGAUUCGCACCCAGCUCUGGGUGUUCAUCAGCGGAGACAGAAACAGGCCGUGGAACAGGACAGCGAAGCAGCCUUGUCUUUCUCUGCUGCUGUUAACAGCUACUGGAGUCUUGAGAAAGCGCAAACACAGCUCCCUAAUUCCGCCCCUCUACCUGACAGGUCAGUCGAGGACACCUCCUGGGGCUCCCCAUUAAAGGUGGGGCACGGCAUUGAGCAUCUGCAAAUCUGCACCUGCAGCCUGCUGAGAAAGGGGAGCUCGAAGGGUCCCAGGUGAAACCCAAGCACCUUGCCCAGGUCCCCCUCUGCCAAUUCCUGGCCAGCAAUCCGGCCCCCCGUGGGAUGCCUCUCGGUUAUGAGAUGCUAAAUGACAGUGGCACCGCCUGAUUUUUAAUAUUUUCCUGAAUAUCUGGGAAAGACAUGCUCCUUAUGGGGAAAAAGAAAAAAAAAAUUGAAUCCAGCCCUUCUGUAGGUAUUGGAAGAAAUGAAGCUGGGCCGGGCGGCAGCUUUUGUGGCGGGGGAGCAGCUGGGGGCGGCUGGGGCUGGGGCCCCACUGGGUGGUGCUGUUAGCCCUGCGCCGCCUGCAAAAGUAUCCAGUUUAUAAAAUAAAUGCAACCCAACGCCGCCUUAAACCACAUGACAUAACAGCAGCUCGCGAGCUCCCAUUAAAAUCUCAAUUUGGGGAAAUUGAUUCUACCUCUGAGCAAUUGCGAUGCAAUUACUCCAACAGGCAGCAAUCAAGGAUCACAUCAAAACAACACCAAACUUUCAUCUCCUGCCUCCCAACCACCACCACAACAAAAAGCACCUGUCUUGCAAACGCAGCCCGCUCGCCCGAAACGUACAAUAAUGGUUAGGAAGAGCAGCGUGCAGGUCCCGGGCUGGAAGCAAGCCUCGACAGGGGCCGCUCGGGUUGGUGCCUCCGGAGUGUCCUGCCUCGGGGCUACAUCCUGCAGCUUUACGCCGCUCCCAACUGGGAUUUGGGGCUUUUUACGGGGCUGGUUCAGCAGGAGCAAGGCCAGCCGGGCUCCAGCUGCCCCUGCAAAGGGAUGUGGCCACAUCUGGGCAGCUGUCACCCCUCUUCAACCCACGCCCUGAAGCUUUGAGACCCCAGGGCUUUGGGGAGAGCUCUGCAAAUGAAGCGCUCCCGUCCUGCUGCCGGCCACCGGCCCCGUUAUAACGGGAAGGGGAAAAUAUUUGGGGAGGGUUGGCGGGGAGGGGAGAUAUUUCCAAUUAGCAAGGGGUUAUUCACCGGGCUGAGCCCAGGAGGGAGCAGUUUGGGUGGCAACCACCAGCGGGGAAUAAACGCCGGGCUCGGAGCAAGAGGGAGAAGAGCCGGGUUUGGGGAUAAAAGCGGAGGCAGCAGGAGGAGGCAGCCGGAGGCCGGUGGCCUCGCCGGGUCCCACUGCGGGAGCCAGGGCCAUGCAGGGAGCUGGGGGCAGCAUGCAGCCAUGGGGGGCCCCGCACAGUCCCCCCAAAAUCCCCUCCCCUUACCUUAGCGGCCGCAUCAGCCUCUCCAGCCCGCCGCGGGGUUGGCGCAGGGAGCGGUGGCUUGUUCUUAUUAUGAAUUCUUAUUAUUAGUUAGUAUUUCUCCAGGAAGACGGGGGAGGGAAUGAAAUAAAAAUAAAUAAAUAAAAUUAAAAAAAAAAAAAAAAA